CAAAUGCAGCACUGAGAUCUUGUAGGAUUAAUACAGAGACCAGACCUCUAUCAGAGGCAAUCAAAAACUCAUUAGUAAUUUUUACUAGUCUCUGUACUAUGAUGAACUCUGAAUCCUGACGGAAAAUCCUUGUCUGUAGUUUGCUAAAACCUCUGGAUCAUGCCAGAACUGUUGCCAUGUUGACGGCCCCCUCACUGAUAUUGGCAAGACAAAUCGACACUGCCUUGUUUGACUCAACGUGACGUUGUAGUAAUAGAAAAAGGGUAUAAAUGCAGUCUAUUUAUCAUGCACAGAUCAUAAAGCAGCUUCUGGCUCCGCACCUGCAAGUUCUGGAAGUACUGGAUCCCAGCCAGAAUCUGUAAACAAGCCUCCAAAGCAGAAAAAGCCUCCAAGGUCUCACAGUCCAGGUCGUCCACCCGUCCCACCAUUAUUCCAGCCAGCUCAUGGUUUUAUGAGGCCACCUGCAGGCUACCACGGCCCCCUGCCACCUGCAGGCUACCACGGCCCCCCGCCACCUGCAGGCUACCAGGGACCCCAGUAUCCACCAGGACCUCGAUUUAUGGCAGGACGAAACCCUAGGGCUUUUGGGGGAUUUACACCUUUCAGCCCUGAAACGUACCAGACAUCUGAGCAACAAUGGACAGGUCCAGGUCCUCAACCCAAAGCAGGCCCAAAGAAGACACCUCAAA